AAAUUGAAGAGUUUGAUCAUGGCUCAGAUUGAACGCUGGCGGCAGGCCUAACACAUGCAAGUCGAACGGUAACAGGAAACAGCUUGCUGUUUCGCUGACGAGUGGCGGACGGGUGAGUAAUGUCUGGGAAACUGCCUGAUGGAGGGGGAUAACUACUGGAAACGGUAGCUAAUACCGCAUAAUGUCGCAAGACUAAAGAGGGGGACCUUCGGGCCUCUUGCCAUCGGAUGUGCCCAGAUGGGAUUAGCUAGUAGGUGGGGUAACG
rnacentral:rRNA from 1 species